CCUCACCUGUGGGAAGCGGAGCGACGCGGCCCCAGCCCUCUCCACUCUGCCACCUUCCAGCCAUGGUGCUCCGCUUCCAGCUGAAGCUAUGUCAACAGCAGAAGCUCUUCCAUCAACACAGUGCUAUCUACAGACAAGUAGCCAAGUGGCUCCAAAUAGACAUCCUGAAUGUGCCUCCUUCCUCCAAGGCUUUUACAGUGUCCAUCUUAUUUUGCUGAUUUCUCCAUGGUGUUCACAGCCAUCCUUCAAGUUCCUUCUUCUACAUAUCCUUUUGCUUCUUAAGGAGGAGUAACCCGCAUCUACUAUUCACACUAGAUUGGAGCAGACUCUACCCACCCCUGUGGAACUGAAUGGUUUGCAAAUAUGGAGAAUGAACACGAGUAUCACCAUAUGAAGUGCACAUGUUAAAAAGCUUAAGAAAAACAAUGCAUUUGGUGAGAAUAAAGUCAUGGUUUUUGACGCUUUUAGAAUAUAAAUAAGGUCAGGAGAAUUGCUUUUCAUUCAUUUUAUUGCAAGAUGGACUGCUUUUCUUGAAAGUAUGUAACAGGACAGAAAAAGAUGCUGAAUGUCUCAGUGUACAGACAGCUGUAGCUGAGACUGUUAUAAUAGGAACAGUUGUUAUACAGCAGAGUCCAUGAGACCAGACCAAGACAAGGGACCUAUAUAACAGAGGGCAAAAAACACCCAUCAACAGAUCACGAACAAAAGGCAUGAGUAUAGUUUUGGGAAUAAAUUGUGCCCAAGUUUGCUUGGAUAACUGGACACCUUCUCCCUAGAGUUAUCACACUAGAUAAAUAAACUUUUAAUUUUUAGUGGUGUUUAGAUGGAAAAGUAAUACACUAUUAAAAGUAGCAAGUAGAUCAAUUAAGCUGUGUAGCAGAACCAACCAACAGGGUAACAUAUUGCUGACCUUUCUUAAUAAUAAAUAAUUCAAUAGGAAGAAAAGCAGAAUUAAUGAAUGAGCAUUCCAAUAUAAACAAGCAUGCAUAAAUAGUGAAAAGUCAGUAAGGUUUCUACUGAAAAUCACAGGAACAAACCCCAAGUUGCUUGCACACAGCAACAGGAUUAUUUUAAGAGAAAAAACAAGGAGUCCUUGUGGCACCUUAGAGACAAAAAUUUAUUUGGGCAUAAGCUUUCAUGCGCUAAAACCUACUUCAUCAGAUGCAUGGAGGGGAAAAUAUAGUAGGCAGGUAUAAGAGAGAUUAAUUUGAUUGCAUGUCACAUGGCAUCAUUUUGGUUCUCUUGAAACAGUCCUGUCACUGUACGCUAACAACUUGGGCUAGUUCCUAUGAUUGAUAUUUGAAAAAAAACACUUAAGUGAUAAUGUCCAUAUUGCACCUAGUAGAAUAGGUUCUCCAGGUGGCUUACAAACAUUCAUUAAGCUCCCAACUCUGCCUCUACAGAGUGGGGUCCAUAUGGAUACAAAUUUUAGAAGGAGAAACUAAGACAUACGAAAGUUAACUUGUCUAAGUCACACAGUAAGUCUGCGGCAGAGUCAAAAAUAAACCCCAGAAGUUCUAGCUUUCAUUUUUAUGUUCUAAGCACCAGAGAAUAUUUUAUUUCAACUGAAGAGGUUAAUUUUUUACUUGUCACUCAGGCAGGGUACAUGACUCUGUGGAAAGCUGCACAAAUUCACAUGGAAAGCCGUAAUUGGGGAAUUAAUUUACAGAGAAAGAAGAGAGACAGUAAUUGUGAGACAUUUGAAGUGGCAAAAUUGUAGCAUACUAAAAGGAAAAACAUGGGGCUGGCAGAAGGUGUAAAUUGAAGUGUGAGGCAGUUUAUUUGAACUCACAGAACUUUACAACCUCAUUAGUGCUUUUCUUGCUACAUUCCUGUCUUUAGCCCCUCAGGAUGAGAGUUACAGCAGUGUAAGUGGGCCAAAUGCAGAGGGCAUGAAGAUGGUGGAUGAGAGUCUCAAGGCCAGAUUCUGAUACCCUUACUCACAAUGAGUAGUACCCUACUCCACACACAGUUCUGAAAUCAGUGGGACUAUUCACUGAGUAAAGUACUAUUCCCCCUGAGCAAGGGUAUCAGAAUCUGGUCCUAAAUUUGUAUGACAUGAGCAGCUGGCAAAAGGAGUAAGAUCUAAAUUACACUCAUUUAUUCAGCUUGGAAUCAGGCUCUUGCCAUCUAAACUGAGAUCACCUGCAUUUUUUCUGCUGGUUUUAUUCAGACUUACUCUGUGUACAGUAACUUCUUCUAGUUGUUUUGUUCAUAUUUACUCUGUUUAUCUGCAGAGGCAUCAAUAUGUAGAAGUUCCAUAGAGUGAAAGUUCCAACAACACAAAACACAACGAAUUAAUGUACUGUAUUGUGGGACUGGAAGCACUGGCUCAGAAAGCACAGUGGCCAUUUAGCAACACCAGCAGACAAUGAAGUUAUUGUAAUAUGUGGCAUUUUUGUAUGUAGGAUGAAACAUUUGUUAUAUCUUUAGGGUCUUGAUUUUUUCUUUUCUGCUGCUGGCUUCUAUUCAAAGUGCAAAGGAAAGACUCCAGUCAAUUUCAUGGGGCCUUGGAUCAGGGCCUUCAAGAGGGCUUAUGUCCUGAACUAAGUGACAAUGCAUAAUUGUGCUGCACCAGGAGCCACCCAGGAAGAAAACUGAGUCUGGAGAAUCACACUCUCAAUUUCACCCCUGCGCUGGGGAGAAGAUACAAUGUCUUGGAUCUAAACCCUGCACAUCUUAUGCAAUCUGCAGGAGAGCACUAAUUCUGCAAAGCCUGAUUCCCUCCCUGUCCCCUAUGCUGUGAUCUGUAGUAUGAGUUACUCACACAAGAGAAUAAGAGAGAACCUUAAGUUCCUUUGCAUUGUCACAUAGGAUUAGUGCUGAUCUAGCUUUUAUGAAAUUCAGCUUUCUGUGUUAAGUCAUUAGAAACGGCAUCUGCUAUUUUUCUUAGCAAUGCAGUAACAGGCAGCAGUGCAGAAUGUAGAUGCAUUAACAGCAGCUGUCAUAGGGUAGGCUGCCUCCCAAGCACUACCGCCUGGCCUGAGAUCACUCUAUAAGUAGCCUGCCUCAGUUUCCCCCUUCAAACUCCCCAAUUAACUCCACAAAGGUUUCCUUCUGUGCAAAAAGCCCUCCCCUUAGGGUUGGGUUUCUUAACAUAGAAGUAAAUUCAGAACAAAAUUCAAAGUCCCGAAAAUAAAGUCCACAAAGUCCAACUCAAUUUACUAGGCCACUCUCAGCCAGAGCUGGCUGGAGUUUUGCUCCUCUGUUAUUCAAAUCUGUCCUGAAGCCCUCUUGUCUCUGCAGCAUGCAGGAAUGUUCUUACUCUCCACAGCUUCCUGGUCCCAGAUUUCUCUAAGAGGUCCAUUCCACACUGGUGUCUUGAGAGGCCCCCUCUUCUCUGCAACUUCCUGCUGCUCUUUCUAAGGAUCAGCUGCCCUCUAUGAGACCCUAUCACAAGGCUGUUAAUAAGACACAAGUAUACUGGACAAAUGCCCUCUUUAAGGGUCCAGUCCACCGUGUGGCACAAACUGACUAUAAGGAGCAAGGAAUCCUUUUGUUGACAUGGUUAUCAGAAAUAUUUUUUAUUUUGAACUAGUAUAAGAACUAGUUCAUUGCAAGUGGGAAAAGGGGUGAAACAAUUGCAGUUUAUCAAGUAAAAUAUUAUGCUGAGUAAUAGUUUCUCCACAACUGGUCAAAGAAACAGCUUUAUUUCCUUUUUUUUAAAAGUGAUUUUUAUGAGUUAGGGGAAAGAUGUUGGGUUGACAGCAGCAGAUAACAGAUUAUCCACAGAGCACAUACAGUAUGGGAAGUGCAGUCUGAGUUCCCCAUAUAAACUCAGCAAUGUGUUUUAAACCUGACCUGGAGAGAGCUUCUGUUGCAAGGCUGAGCUGUACCUUUGUCCUCUCUCAACCUCUCUGCACAUACCCCUUCCAAAUGACAGGUCUAUACUGAUGCUUCUCUGAAUGGAAACCUGCACCUCACCCCACUUUUAGACUGAACUGACCAGGCUACAGCACUCCCUUUCUACCAACUGUAUUUAGAGCUGUCUGGAAACUGGAAUUCCCAUUCUGUGGAAAAUUAUGAAAUAAAAAAAACCCAAAAUGGAACAAAAAAUGAAAUUCCAAAAUUUCUCAUGGAAUUGG